UACGAAGGGGGCUAGCGUUGUUCGGAAUUACUGGGCGUAGAGCGCACGUAGGCGGACUACUAAGUCAGGGGUGAAAUCCCGGGGCUCAACCCCGGAACUGCCUUUGAUACUGAGAGUCUCGAGUCCGGAAGAGGUGAGUGGAAUUCCGAGUGUAGAGGUGAAAUUCGUAGAUAUUCGGAGGAACACCAGUGGCGAAGGCGGCUCACUGGUCCGGUACUGACGCUGAGGUGCGAAAGCGUGGGGAGCAAACAGG
rnacentral:rRNA from 1 species